rnacentral:rRNA from 1 species
GACGAACGCUGGCGGCGUGCCUAAUACAUGCAAGUUGAGCGCUGAAGGUUGGUACUUGUACCAACUGGAUGAGCAGCGCACGGGUGAGUAACGCGUGGGUAAUCUGCCUUUGAGCGGGGGACAACAUUUGGAAACGAAUGCUAAUACCGCAUAAAAACUUUAAACACAAGUUUUAAGUUUGAAAGAUGCAAUUGCAUCACUCAAAGAUGAUCCCGCGUUGUAUUAGCUAGUUGGUGAGGUAAAGGCUCACCAAGGCGAUGAUACAUAGCCGACCUGAGAGGGUGAUCGGCCACAUUGGGAAUGAGACACGGCCCAAACUCCUACGGGAGGCAGCAGUAGGGAAUCUUCGGCAAGAGACGAAAGUCUGACCGAGCAACGCCGCGGGAGUGAAGAAGGUUUUCGGAUCGUAAAAAUCUGUUGGUAGAGAAGAACGUUGGUGAGAGUGGAAAGCUCAUCAAGUGACGGUAACUACCCAGAAAGGGACGGCUAACUACGUG